AUUGAACGCUGGCGGCAGGCCUAACACAUGCAAGUCGAACGAGUGGCGGACGGGUGAGUAAUGUCUGGGAAACUGCCUGAUGGAGGGGGAUAACUACUGGAAACGGUAGCUAAUACCGCAUACCAUCGGAUGUGCCCAGAUGGGAUUAGCUAGUAGGUGGGGUAACGGCUCACCUAGGCGACGAUCCCUAGCUGGUCUGAGAGGAUGACCAGCCACCCUGGAACUGAGUGACGGUCCAGAGUCCUACGGGAGGCAGCAGUGGGGAAUAUUGCACAAUUGGCUCAAGCCUGAUGCAGCCAUGCCGCGUGUAUGAAGAAGGCCUUCGGGUUGUAAAGUACUUUCAGCGGGGAGGCGUUACCCGCAGAAGAAGCACCGGGUGACUCCGUGCCAGCAGCCGCGGUAAUAC
rnacentral:rRNA from 1 species